rnacentral:rRNA from 1 species
GACGAACGCUGGCGGCGUGCCUAAUACAUGCAAGUCGAACGCAGUGGGGACGGGUGAGUAACACGUGGGUAACCUCCCAUCAGAGGGGAUAAAACUUGGAAACAGGUGCUAAACCGAUACUGAUGGAUGGACCCGCGGUGCAUGAGCUAGUUGGGGAGGGUACGGCUCACCAAGGCCACGAUGCAUAGCCGACCUGGUAGGGUGAUCGGCCACACUGGGACUGUGACACGGUCCAGCAUCCUACGGGAGGCAGCAGGAGGGAAUCUGCGGCAAUGGACGAAAGUCUGACCGAGCAACGCCGCGUGAGUGAAGAAGUUUUUCGGAUCGUAAACCUCUGUUGUUAGAGAAGCGGUAUCUAACCAGAAAGCCACGGCUAACUACGUGCCAGCAGCCGCGGUAAUUC